AUGCCAUUUGAACGAUUUUUGAUGCUACUGUGUUUUUCGCCUGUUCUCUUCACCGCUUUUCCACCCAAUCACUUUUCGAUUGCUGGCAUUUUUUUUAAUCUUUAUUUCGACGAAUUUGCUUUUCUUGCUCUGUUUCGAUCUAUCGUUACGUUCCUUUUCUUCCUUCUCCGUUUCCUCUUCUAAUUGCAGGUUCAUGAUUGGCGUGGUUGUCGGGUUCGGUGGUGUCACCGCCAUUAGCUCCAGCAUCCUCUACCUUCUGCUUCUUCAUUUUAUCCCUUCUUAAUCGCCGGUGUGAGGUCUGAUUUUUGCCUCUUCGAUUUUACCCCAACCGAUUCAUCGAUCUUCAACAUCAGACGAACCCAUCCCUACCUCCAAUUGCUUCGCUUUUCUGUACCGACAUCGACUUAGGUGCAGAGGAAGACCGACAAACGGAGUCGUUUGACGAUGCGAUGUAUCACUCCGCCAUCGCUUACGUGUGUUUCUUGUGCGACAGGUAGGUGAGCAAGGCGGAGAGUUGGGUGGCUCCUUGACUUAGACGACAACUGAAACACUCAGACACACAUAUAUGUAUUGCUUCAAAAUCCACCAGUGUCGCUUCGCAACCCACGACCAUCAUCACAUCAGAUCGAUUUUAGGUUCCAGACGUCUCCCUUAUCAAUCCAAACUUCACAAAUUGAACGUUUCGGGAUUCAGUACGAUGCUGGAUACAGACCCGAUGAGGAUGAAAGGAAAGUAAACAACGACUCCUACUGAUUACGUGAGUUUCUUACCAAUUUUAAUUAGGUAUAUUAGAUUAGAUUAUUUCCCCAAGUUUGUUUGUUCAUAGGCGAGCUCUCUAACAGGCGCUAAAUCAAUAAUACGUGAAGUUGCAUAUGUUCCAUGAAGAUGACUGAUGAUGCCAAAUUGAAUCCCAUAAAUCUCACCAACGACAUCGUCCCACGUGUCAUGCCAUAUCUUUAUAACUCUGCUAAGACGUAUGGUAUGUAAUGUAUACACACGAGCAGUGAUAGUAGAUCUUAUUUUGUUGAGUUUUUCAAAGAAAAUUUUUUACAAACGUUUUUAACAAAAAAUUAUUUUUUUUUUGUCAAAAAUUCCAUUCAUGUUUAUAGAAGUUUUAAAAAUGUUCAGAUUUUAUAAUUAGUUUGCAGAAUAGUAAAUCUUGACCAAUGAAAUCCAUUAGCAUGUCUUUCCAAAUUUUAUAUGCUGAUCAUAUCUAUGUGUCACAUACAUGAUGUUAUCUCAAAGACCAAAGUACAAUCAGCAUAACUAUAGAUUUUAUGUGGUACCUUUGCAUUUAAAUUUUCCAUAUGAGUUUAGAAUACACAUAUUAUAUGCAAAGUGAAAAGCAUCAUAUAGGCAUAGUUAAAAAGGCUGUUCGUUUGACCUGAAACUCAAACAGUAAGAUCCCGAAUAUAAAGGCUACGAUCUAUAUUAGUUUUGUUCAAGAAUGCGUAAUCUGAUCUUUCAAACAAUGUAUAUUAAGUCCUUUGGAUAUUUGUAUUCAGGUAAAGGUAAAGGAAAGAAUUUAUAUACAUGGAUGGGCCCAUGACCUUUUGUGCACGUAACAGAACCUGCACUAAUACGACUGAUUUUGGCAAAUUAUUCUCAAUUUCAAAAACUAGAUGUAGGAAAUUCGUUGACAGAGUUGCUACUAAGUGGGCUAGCAGAUGUUGAAGCUGAUCAAUGGGCAAAACAUAGAAAGAUUAUGAAUCAUGCAUUCCAUGUGGAAAAGCUUAAGCAUAUGGUACCGGCCUUUUACAUUAGUUGCAGUAAUAUGAUCAACAAAUGGGAAGUAUUAACAAAAGAAAGAUCAUGUGCAGUGGAUGUACAACAUUUGGUAGUAGCUAUGAAGAAGGAAGAAAGAUAUUUGAACUUCAAAAAGAACAAACAUAGUUAGUUAUGAAGGGUUUACAAUCGUUGUAUAUUCCAGGAUCCCGAAGAGGAGGAGCGAAAACGCCAUUUUUGUUUCCGUGAUGAUGAUUCCGUGGGGUGUCAGCCAGGAUCACAUGUGGCAAUAUUGCGUCCCUCGAGGUUAACUGCAUCUAUUUAUCCCAGGGCAUGGAAUGUUUCAUUCACGCGCCAAAGAGGGAGCCUCUGUUUUAGGGUCCUGUGGCUAUACGGAUGGCUAAAAGAGUGAUUAGCCAUGGUUCAGAAAUGGAGACCAGGUCUGAUUUGGAAUUGGAAGACGAAUGCUAUGAAGAGAUAUUGGUCACAGGUGAUAGGUUAGAAGGGUUGAAUGCAUUUUCUGAGAAGCGAAAACCAUUGUACAAAGGCGGAUGAAAUUAACGUAUUUUGGUUUAUUGAUAUUGGCAACGUACUUUAGUUUUUUUUUUCUUUGAUAAGGUGUAUAAGAUUUUUGACAGGUACUAUGGGCAGAUGGUUGUCUUACUUUAACAUGGAGUUGUAGGGAGAGAACUUGGUCAUUUCAAUAACUAGGAGGGGAAGUGAUGAUGGCAGGAAAGGAUAUAGGGGUAAAUUAGUCAUUUGAGGAUAGGAAGGGUUUUUUGUAACUAGGAUGGGAGGUGAUGAUGGCAGGGAGGAAAUAGAGGUAAAUUGGUCGUUUCAGGAUCACCGAUUGUAUUAUUGCUUUUGUAACUUAGGAUUAGACUUUUAAUUCUUAUACAAUUGAUUAAAAUUCAAUUUUUUUUAACUAUCUUUGUCACCCAUAAUAGCAACAUACUUACAUUUCGAUA